GCCUGCGUGGCUCAGUCAGUUGAGCAUCUGACUUCGGCUCAGGUCAUGAUCUCACAGCUCGUGAGUUCAAGCCCCACGUCGGGCU
rnacentral:tRNA from 1 species